AGAGCGAACGCUGGCGGCAGGCCUAAUACAUGCAAGUCGAACGAACCCUUCGGGGUUAGUGGCGGACGGGUGAGUAACACGUGGGAACGUGCCCUUUGGUUCGGAACAACUCAGGGAAACUUGAGCUAAUACCGGAUAAGCCCUUCGGGGGAAAGAUUUAUCGCCAUUGGAGCGGCCCGCGUCUGAUUAGCUAGUUGGUGAGGUAAAGGCUCACCAAGGCUUCGAUCAGUAGCUGGUCUGAGAGGAUGAUCAGCCACACUGGGACUGAGACACGGCCCAGACUCCUACGGGAGGCAGCAGUAGGGAAUCUUGCGCAAUGGGCGAAAGCCUGACGCAGCCAUGCCGCGUGAAUGAUGAAGGUCUUAGGAUUGUAAAAUUCUUUCAGCGGGACGAUAAUGACGGUACCGCAGAAGAACGCCCCGGCUAACUUCGUGCCAGCAGCCGC
rnacentral:rRNA from 1 species